rnacentral:lncRNA from 1 species
AAUUUUGUUUUUUUUCAUAAGUUUAUGAUUUAGUUUACAUAUUUUUUGUUGAAGUGUGUGAUGUUUUUUUUAGGUAUGCCGAUAACUAUUAUUGUCGAGGUAUGCUUGAUAAACCUGACGUGUUUAUGUUAAGGUUAGUUUAUGAUUUUGUAGAUAAAUGAUGUUGUUUGUGUUGUUUGUUGAUAACUGAUUUUGUUUUGUUCAUAAGUUUAUGAUUUUGUUUACAUAUUUUUUAUUGAAGUAUGUUGAUGUUAUGUUAGGUAUGGUGAUAAAUGUUGUUGUUGAGGUAUAUUUUAUAAAUUUAUGUUAAGGUUAGUUUAUAAUUUUAUAGAUAAAAGAUGUUGUUUGUGUUGUUUGUUCAUAAAUU